GGGCCUAUAGUCUAAUGGACAGGACAUGCGGCUUCGGACCGCAGAAUCGGCGUUCGAAUCGCCGUAGGCUCA
rnacentral:tRNA from 1 species